GUUAGCGGCGGACGGGUGAGUAACACGUGGGCAACCUGCCUGUAAGACUGGGAUAACACCGGGAAACCGGUGCUAAUACCGGAUAAUCCUUUUCCUCUCAUGAGGAAAAGCUGAAAGUCGGUUUCGGCUGACACUUACAGAUGGGCCCGCGGCGCAUUAGCUAGUUGGUGAGGUAACGGCUCACCAAGGCGACGAUGCGUAGCCGACCUGAGAGGGUGAUCGGCCACACUGGGACUGAGACACGGCCCAGACUCCUACGGGAGGCAGCAGUAGGGAAUCUUCCACAAUGGACGAAAGUCUGAUGGAGCAACGCCGCGUGAGCGAUGAAGGCCUUCGGGUCGUAAAGCUMUGUUGUUAGGGAAGAACAAGUACCGGAGUAACUGCC
rnacentral:rRNA from 1 species